UUUUCGCAAUGCCCGAAAGGGUGACGAAGCGACGCCGCGUGGAUGAAGAAGGCCUUCGGGUUGUAAAAUCCUGUCAGGAGUUAAGAAAUGUAGGUGCGAUAAUACCGUGCCUAUUUGACAAAGGCUCCAAAGGAAGCCACGGCUAACUCUGUGCCAGCAGCCGCGGUAAUACAGAGGUGGCAAGCGUUGUUCGGAAUUAUUGGGCGUAAAGAGCACGUAGGUGGAUUUGUUAGUCAGAUGUGAAAGCCUUUCGUUCAACGGAAGAAUUGCAUCUGAAACUACAAACCUUGAGUAUAGGAGGGGAGAGUGGAACUUCUGGUGGAGCGGUGAAAUGCGUAGAUAUCAGAAGGAACGCCGGCGGCGAAAGCGACUCUCUGGCCUAUAACUGACACUGAGUGUGCGAAAGCUAGGGGAGCAAACGGGAUUAGAUACCCCGGUAGUCCUAGCCGUAAACGAUGGGCACUAAGUAGAGGGGUU
rnacentral:rRNA from 1 species